GGUUAAGCUAUUAAGGGCGCACGGAGGAUGCCUAGGCGCCAGGAGCCUAAGAAGGACGCGGCGAACAGCGAAAUUGCCUCGGGGAGCCGUAAGCAGGCUUUGAUCCGGGGAUGUCCGAAUGGGGAAACCCGGCUGGGGUCAUGCCCAGUCACCUAUGAGUGAAUCCAUAGCUCAUAAGGAGGCACACCCAGGGAACUGAAACAUCUAAGUACCUGGAGGAGAAGAAAACAAGAGUGAUUCCGUCAGUAGCGGCGAGCGAAAGCGGAUUAGCCCAAACCUGAGAGCUUGCUCUCAGGGGUUGUGGGACGUCUCACAUGGAGUUACAAAGGGAUAGGUUAGGCGAAGAGAUCUGGAAAGGUCCGGCAUAGAAGGUAAAAGCCCUGUAGCCGAAAGUCUAUCCCCUCCGAGACGGAUCCCGAGUACCGCGGGACACGAGAAACCCCGUGGGAAUCCGGCAGGACCAUCUGCCAAGGCUAAAUACUCCCUGGCGACCGAUAGUGAAGCAGUACCGUGAGGGAAAGGUGAAAAGCACCGCGGGAGCGGAGUGAAAAAAGAACCUGAAACCGUGCGCUUACAAGAAGUCAGAGCCCGAUCUAGGGGUGAUGGCGUGCCUUUUGUAGAAUGAACCGGCGAGUUACGUUUACGUGCGAGGUUAAGUCGGAGAGACGGAGCCGCAGCGAAAGCGAGUCUGAAUAGGGCGCUUUAGUACGUAGUCGUAGACCCGAAACCGGGUGAUCUACCCCUGUGCAGGGUGAAGGUGAGGUAACACUUACUGGAGGCCCGAACUCGUGAGCGUUGAAAAGCUCUGGGAUGACGUGGGGGUAGGGGAGAAAUUCCAAUCGAACUCGGAGAUAGCUGGUUCUCCCCGAAAUAGCUUUAGGGCUAGCCUCGAGAUUUAGCAUCAUGGAGGUAGAGCACUGAUUGGGUGCGGGGCCCGCCAAGGGUUACCAAGUCCAGUCAAACUCCGAAUGCCAUGGAUGUAUGCUCGGGAGUCAGACGGCGAGUGCUAAGAUCCGUCGUCAAGAGGGAAAGAGCCCAGAUCAUCAGCUAAGGUCCCCAAGUGUGUGUUAAGUGGGAAAGGAUGUGGAGUUGCGAAGACAACCAGGAUGUUGGCUUAGAAGCAGCCACCAUUUAAAGAGUGCGUAAUAGCUCACUGGUCGAGUGACUCUGCGCCGAAAAUGUAACGGGGCUAAACACACCACCGAAGCUAUGGCAUGUACCUUUUAGGUACUUGGGUAGGGGAGCGUUGAAUGCGGGUUGAAGUCGGACCGAGAGGAUCGGUGGACUGCAUUCAAGUGAGAAUGCCGGUAUGAGUAACGAAAAGACAGGUGAGAAUCCUGUCCGCCGAAAGCCUAAGGGUUCCUGAGGAAGGUUCGUCCGCUCAGGGUAAGUCGGGACCUAAGGCGAGGCCGAAAGGCGUAGUCGAAGGACAACAGGUUGAAAUUCCUGUACCACCGUAAUCCGUUACGAGCGAUGGGGGGACGCAGGAGGGCAAGAACGCGAGCUGAUGGAAUAGCUCGUCCAAGCAGUGAGGGGUGUGUGUAGGCAAAUCCGCACACUGAUACCUUGAGCUGUGAUGGGGAGGGAAAAUUACAGUACCGAAGGUUCCGUGCUCACGCUGCCGAGAAAAGCCUCUAGCCAGGAGAAGGUGCCCGUACCGCAAACCGACACAGGUAGGCGAGAAGAGAAUUCUAAGGCGCGCGGAAGAACUCUCGUUAAGGAACUCGGCAAAAUGACCCCGUAACUUCGGGAGAAGGGGUGCCUCGGUAGGGUGAAUAGCCCGAGGGGGCCGCAGUGAAUAGGCCCAAGCGACUGUUUAGCAAAAACACAGGUCUGUGCGAAGCCGUAAGGCGAAGUAUACGGGCUGACGCCUGCCCGGUGCUGGAAGGUUAAGGGGGAGCGGUUAGGGGCAACCCGAAGCUGUGAACCGAAGCCCCAGUAAACGGCGGCCGUAACUAUAACGGUCCUAAGGUAGCGAAAUUCCUUGUCAGGUAAAUUCUGACCCGCACGAAUGGCGUAACGACUUGGGCGCUGUCUCAACGAGAGAUCCGGUGAAAUUUUAGUACCUGUGAAGAUGCAGGUUACCCGCGACGUGACGGAAAGACCCCAUGGAGCUUUACUGUAGCUUGAUAUUGAACUUGGGUACGGUCUGUACAGGAUAGGUGGGAGCCUAAGAAGCCUGAGCGCAAGCUUCAAUGGAGGCGCCGUUGGGAUACCACCCUGAUCGUAUCUAGGUUCUAACCUGUCACCGUGAAUCCGGUGAAGGGACCGUGUCAGGCGGACAGUUUGACUGGGGCGGUCGCCUCCUAAAGCGUAACGGAGGCGCCCCAAGGUUCCCUCAGAAUGGUUGGAAAUCAUUCGAAGAGUGCAAAGGCAUAAGGGAGCUUGACUGCGAGACCUACAAGUCGAGCAGGGACAAAAGUCGGGCUUAGUGAUCCGGUGGUACCGAAUGGAAGGGCCAUCGCUCAACGGAUAAAAGCUACCCUGGGGAUAACAGGCUUAUCUCCCCCAAGAGUCCACAUCGACGGGGAGGUUUGGCACCUCGAUGUCGGCUCAUCGCAUCCUGGGGCUGAAGUAGGUCCCAAGGGUUGGGCUGUUCGCCCAUUAAAGCGGUACGCGAGCUGGGUUCAGAACGUCGUGAGACAGUUCGGGCCCCCUCUGUAUUCGGGCGUCAGGAAAUUCGAGAGGUGCUGUCUCCUUUCGUACGAGAGGACCGGGAUGGACGCACCGCUGGUGUACCAGUUGUUCCGCCAGGAGCAUCGCUGGGUAGC
rnacentral:rRNA from 1 species